AAGUCGUAACAAGGUUUCCGUAGGUGAACCUGCGGAAGGAUCAUUAUCGAGUUUGAAGUGGGCCUUUUGAGCUGCAGUAAUGGUGUGCUCGAGGCCCCGCUCCAUCCACUCAACCCCUGUGCACUUUCGGAGUGGCGAGUGGGACCGCAAGGUCUUGCCCGUGGCUUCGUCUCUUAUCACAAACCAGUUUUAUUAUUGUCAUGUAGAACGUGGAUGCCUGCAAAGGCGGGAACUCAAUACAACUUUCAACAACGGAUCUCUUGGCUCUCGCAUCGAUGAAGAACGCAGCGAAAUGCGAUAAGUAAUGUGAAUUGCAGAUUUCAGUGAAUCAUCGAAUCUUUGAACGCACCUUGCGCUCCUGGACUUGUUUCAGGAGCAUGCCUGUUUGAGUGUCAUGAAAUUAUCAACCACGAUGCUUCUUAGUGUCGCUGGCUUGGACUUGGGGAUCUGCUGGCUUGUCAAGAGUCGGCUUCCCUUGAAUGCAUUAGUCGGGUGCCUUGCUCGAGAAGUGUGAUAAUUAUCAUUCACUGAUCGUCGAGGAGCUUUGUCUCGGCUUCUAACUGCAUCGGAAACGAUGCAAUUUUGACACAUCUGACCUCAAAUCAGGUAGGACUACCCGCUGAACUUA
rnacentral:rRNA from 1 species